GUUUCUUCUUCUUCUUUUCCUU
rnacentral:sRNA from 1 species